AACGAACGCUGGCGGCAGGCUUAACACAUGCAAGUCGAACGGGUGUAGCAAUACAUCAGUGGCAGACGGGUGAGUAACACGUGGGAACCUUCCUAGGGGUACGGAACAACUCAGGGAAACUUGAGCUAAUACCGUAUACGUCCGUGAGGAGAAAGAUUUAUCGCCCUUAGACGGGCCCGCGUCGGAUUAGGUAGUUGGUGGGGUAACGGCGUACCAAGCCUACGAUCCGUAGCUGAUCUUAGUGGAUGAUCAGCCACACUGGGACUGAGACACGGCCCAGACUCCUACGGGAGGCAGCAGUGGGGAAUCUUGGACAAUGGGCGCAAGCCUGAUCCAGCCAUGCCGCGUGAGUGAAGAAGGCCUUAGGGUUGUAAAGCUCUUUUACCAGGGACGAUAAUGACGGUACCUGGAGAAUAAGCCCCGGCAAACUUCGUGCCAGCCGCCGCAGUAACAC
rnacentral:rRNA from 1 species